rnacentral:rRNA from 1 species
UGAAACCAAGGGUUAGAUACCCUGGUAUUCUGAUCCAGAAAAAAUUAACCAUGCCACUAAAAGAUAAAGGCUUUAAAACUAAAGAAUUUGGCGGUAUCUCCAAUCAAAUUAGAGGAACCUGUCCUGUAAUCGACGAUCCGCGAUUAAUCUUACCUUGUAAAGUAUUGCUUUCUUUAAUUAUUACACAUAUAAUAAUUAUAGUUAGACCAGCCGGUAUACCGCCAUUUUGAAGUAAUUUUUGAAGAGAUUACUGUAAUUUUGAUUUUUAGGACUAAGUAAAAACAAGACAAAUAUAGACCGAAAAGCGUAGAGCUUUUAAUGAAAGUGAAUGAGUUUCAUAUUUAGUAAAUUAGGUCAAGGUGCCGCCAAUAACAAGAGUAGAGAUGGGUUACAAUUUUAUUGAAAAUUACGGAUGAAAAUAUUUGAAAAGUUAUCUGAAGGCGGAUUUAUCAGUAAUAUAAGUUUAAUACCCUUAUAUGAAGACGAACUGGACUACGUACAUAUCCCCCCGUCGCUA